GACGAACGCUGGCGGCGUGCUUAACACAUGCAAGUCGAACGGAAAGGCCCCUUUGGGGGUACUCGAGUGGCGAACGGGUGAGUAACACGUGAGUAACCUGCCCUUGACUUCGGGAUAACUUCAGGAAACUGGGGCUAAUACCGGAUAGGAAUCCUUGCUGCAUGGUGGGGGUUGGAAAGCUUCGGCGGUUUUGGAUGGACUCGCGGCUUAUCAGCUUGUUGGUGGGGUAGUGGCUUACCAAGGCUUUGACGGGUAGCCGGCCUGAGAGGGCGACCGGCCACAUUGGGACUGAGAUACGGCCCAGACGCCUACGGGAGGCAGCAGGGGGGAAUAUUGCACAAGGGGCGGAAGCCUGAUGCAGCAACGCCGCGGGCGGGAUGACGGCCUUCGGGUUGUAAACCGCUUUCAGCAGGGGCGAAGCUUGUGGUGACGGUACCUGCAGAAGAAGCACCGGCUAACUACGUG
rnacentral:rRNA from 1 species